CCUACGGGGGGCUGCAGUGGGGAAUAUUGGACAAUGGGCGAAAGCCUGAUCCAGCCAUGCCGCGUGUGUGAAGAAGGCCUUCGGGUUGUAAAGCACUUUCAGUGGGGAAGAAAGCCUUGGGGCUAAUACCCUCGAGGAAGGACAUCACCCACAGAAGAAGCACCGGCUAACUCCGUGCCAGCAGCCGCGGUAAUACGGAGGGUGCGAGCGUUAAUCGGAAUUACUGGGCGUAAAGCGCGCGUAGGCGGUCUGAUAAGCCGGUUGUGAAAGCCCCGGGCUCAACCUGGGAACGGCAUCUGGAACUGUCAGGCUAGAGUGCAGGAGAGGAAGGUAGAAUUCCCGGUGUAGCGGUGAAAUGCGUAGAGAUCGGGAGGAAUACCAGUGGCGAAGGCGGCCUUCUGGACUGACACUGACGCUGAGGUGCGAAAGCGUGGGUAGCAAACAGGAUUAGAUACCCCAG
rnacentral:rRNA from 1 species